rnacentral:lncRNA from 1 species
UGUAUUUUACAACAUUUCGUAACCAAAUUUUGCAAUUUUACCGAUUUUAAUAAGUUCUUUACGGGAAUUUACUUUUUUUUGCGUAAAUAAAAAAUUAGUCUAACAUGCAAGUUGUCUAUUGACAGCCUGGAAUUCGAAAACGAAGCAAAUUAUCAAGAGGAACUAUAGGCACUAGAAAAUAUUUUACUGGAUUGUGUAAAAAAAAUUUUUACUCAUAAAAUAUUACUGGACUGUAUUCAAAAAUUUUACUGGACUGUAUUCAAAAUAUUUUACUGGACUGUGUUCAAAAUAUUUUACAGGACUGUGACAAAAAAUUUUACUGAACUGUCAAGAAAUUUUACAGGACUACCGAAAGACUUUACUGGACUGUGAAAAGCUUUACAGGACUGCAAGAAAAUGUAACAGGACUGUGAGCCUUCUGGGCCAUCGUAGUAUUCGUUGGUCUAUAUCACUAUAAAAGUUAUAAGCAAAAGUUAUAAACUUUUAUCAAGACUAUGAUCACAUGUGAAAAUUCGUUAAAAAGGGGGUCUGCAACGAAGCAUGAGCUUUGAGUGCUGGAAUAUAGACAAAAUAAUUAAAACAGCAUAUUUGGCUGUGUACCGCAUGCAGGGACGUAGC